CGUGCUGUGAGGAGUUGCUGCAGAUCCGCUGUGUAGUUUGUGCAGCCCGUUUCCCCUGCUGCCAGAAGUGUAACUUACGCCUGUCUUCAUGCUGGCAAAGGAGAAUGGAAGAAAGAAGAGCAAAUUCCUUCUUCUUCUGUCACACCGCCACCUCCACACACACAUUUGAAAUUGCCUAAGAUGGGAGAGGAGGAAGCAUUAUUGACUGAUGUGAAUAGUCAGUAAAUAAAACCUAAUCCGAAUUAAA